UACGUAGGGGGCAAGCGUUGUCCGGAUUUAUUGGGCGUAAAGAGCGUGUAGGCGGCCUUACAGGUCAGCUGUGAAAACUCGAGGCUCAACCUCGAGACGUCGGUUGAAACCGUAAGGCUAGAGUUCGGGAGAGGAGCGUGGAAUUCCCAGUGUAGAGGUGAAAUUCGUAGAUAUUGGGAAGAACACCGGUGGCGAAGGCGGCGCUCUGGACCGAGACUGACGCUGAGGCGCGAAAAGCGUGGGGGAGCAAACAGGG
rnacentral:rRNA from 1 species